rnacentral:misc_RNA from 1 species
GCUGGACUCACAAUUUAUAUGUAUGUCUUGCAAUAAAAAUACAUUGAAGAUGUAUACGUGUAAUAGGACAAGACUCAUUUUGAAUUCAUCGAUUUUAAAUCUUCGAACUCGUACAACAUAAUACUACUACUAUGAUCUGCUCUUCUCUCUAUAGGAUGGCAGAGAAAUUAACUUAUAUUCUCACACAUAAAAGGGUAAUUAAGGAGAUCUUACUUGUGGAAAUAAUUAAUAUCAACUAAUUUCAAGAAUCUCCAUGCUUUUUCCAUCUAACAAGCAUACCAAUGCAUCUCUUUACAAUAUAAAAUUUUGACUUCUGUUCCUUAGCCAAAUUACUGCAUUUGCUUCUAAAAUUAGCACACCUUUGUGAUGCACUUUUUGUAAGUCGACAUUUUGAAGUGGAACUCUUUUGUGAAGAACUCCUUGAAAGUGAUGAUUUGUGUGGAUUUUUUUGUGAAAGACUUCUUGGAAGAGAAGAAAUAUUUGAGUUUGGGCUUUUUUGGGAAAAACUCCUAAAUAAAGAGGAUGACUUAUUAUUUGAAGAUGAAUAUGAAUUACAACAUGGAUCAUCCUUUGAUAAUUUCCAUCUCUCAUCCAUGUAAUAUUCCAUUUUACGAACUAUGCACGACGGAUUCUCACAAAAUAAUUGGAUGUAGA